UGAGUAACGCGUGGGUAACCUGCCUUGUACAGGGGGAUAACAGUCAGAAAUGACUGCUAAUACCGCAUAAGCGCACAGGACCGCAUGGUCCAGUGUGAAAAACUCCGGUGGUAUAAGAUGGACCCGCGUUGGAUUAGCUGGUUGGUGGGGUAACGGCCUACCAAGGCGACGAUCCAUAGCCGGCCUGAGAGGGUGAACGGCCACAUUGGGACUGAGACACGGCCCAGACUCCUACGGGAGGCAGCAGUGGGGAAUAUUGCACAAUGGGGGAAACCCUGAUGCAGCGACGCCGCGUGAAGGAAGAAGUAUCUCGGUAUGUAAACUUCUAUCAGCAGGGAAGAGAUUGACGGUACCUGACUAAGAAGCCCCGGCUAACUACGUGCCAGCAGCCGCGGUAAUACGUAGGGGGCAAGCGUUAUCCGGAUUUACUGGGUGUAAAGGGAGCGUAGACGGAUGGACAAGUCUGAUGUGAAAGGCUGGGGCUCAACCCCGGGACUGCAUUGGAAACUGCCCGUCUUGAGUGCCGGAGAGGUAAGCGGAAUUCCUAGUGUAGCGGUGAAAUGCGUAGAUAUUAGGAGGAACACCAGUGGCGAAGGCGGCUUACUGGACGGUAACUGACGUUGA
rnacentral:rRNA from 1 species